rnacentral:rRNA from 1 species
GACGAACGCUGGCGGCGUGCUUAACACAUGCAAGUCGAGCGGUAAGGCCCUUUCGGGGUACGACAGCGGCGAACGGGUAGGAGUAACAACGUGGGUGGACCUCGCCCUUACGUCUCUGGGAGUAAAGCCUCGGGAAACGUAGGGUCGUAAUAACCGGACGUAUGACUCCAUGACGCAUGUUGUGGGGUGGGAAAGACCUU